rnacentral:rRNA from 1 species
UACAGAGGGGGCAAGCGUUGUUCGGAAUUACUGGGCGUAAAGGGCGCGUAGGCGGCCCGCUAAGUCGAACGUGAAAUCCCCAGGCUCAACCUGGGAACUGCGUCCGAUACUGGCAGGCUUGAAUCCGGGAGAGGGAUGUGGAAUUCCAGGUGUAGCGGUGAAAUGCGUAGAUAUCUGGAGGAACACCGGUGGCGAAGGCGGGCAUCCUGGACCGGUAUUGACGCUGAGGCGCGAAAGCUAGGGGAGCAAACGGG